CUUGUCUUUAUAAAAUGUAUCCGACUAGACUCUUCAGCUUCUCAGUGAUACUGAUCAGUAUGCAAGUGAAAGUAUGUAACGUACUGUAGGGGUAUCCCCCGUACCACUUAUACCACCAUCUAUACUUUUAUACAGCUAACAGGAUGACAUCACACAUACAGUGACACUCCCACCUGCAGCUCUACGUAUCAACCAUACGAGACUCCGGUAGCUCCUGUCCUGCAGAACAUGGAUAAUCCCAUCAUUAAACGAGGCCUGCUCACAUUGUCAGUCUUUGUGCUGUGGACUACAGGUCUAACUGAUGGGAGUGAUGUCAUCCAGACCUCCAUACUUUGGAAACAACAGGAGGACAGUGCAACAAUGAACUGCAGCCACACCAAGGGUGCUCAGUACUACCAGAUGUACUGGUACAGACAGCUAUCAGGAGAACCAAUGAAACUAAUAGUGUUCACAACAAUAGGCGCCAUCAACAACAACCAUGAUUUUGGAGAUUUCAGCAAAGAGAAAUUCUCAGCCACCAAGACUGAAGCUGAGAGUGGGACAUUCACAGUGAAGAAUCUGGAGCCAGAAGAUAAAGGCUUGUAUUUCUGUGCUGUUUAACUGAUGGGAGUGAUGUCACCCAGACGCCGGACAUACUGUGGGGGGAAAAGGGCGACAGUUCAACAAUGAACUGCAGCCACACCAAG